CGGGGAAUAUUGCACAAUGGAGGGAACUCUGAUGCAGCGACGCCGCGUGAGUGAUGAAGGAAUUCGUUUCGUAAAACUCUGUUCUAUGGGAAGAAAAGGACUGUACCAUAGGAGAAAGCUCCGGCUAAAUACGUGCCAGCAGCCGCGGUAAUACGUAUGGAGCGAGCGUUGUCCGGAAUUAUUGGGCGUAAAGGGUGCGCAGGCGGCUUUACAAGUUGGAUGUGAAAUAUUGUGGCUCAACCACAAACGUGCAUCCAAAACUGCAAAGCUUGAGUUAAGGAGAGGUAAGUGGAAUUCCUGGUGUAGCGGUGGAAUGCGUAGAUAUCAGGAAGAAUACCGGUGGCGAAGGCGACUUACUGGACUUAAACUGACGCUCAGGCACGAAAGCGUGGGGAGCAAACAGG
rnacentral:rRNA from 1 species